CCAGGGAGAUAGGGGUGCCAACUCCUCCUGCUAUUGAGAAUAUAAUCGUAGGACUCCAAUAUUCUUGAGGGAGUCCUAGAAUUUUAACCCAACACUGAGAGUGUGUGAUCUUUUGAAGGGAGGGAUUGAAGUCAGGCGUCCAUAGUGAGAGUCUUAGGAUUCCUGGCUUGAGAUUCCAGGAUCCUAUUGAGCACACCUUCCUCAUAUCCUCUCCUGAAGAGAAUGAGAAAUCAUAGAAACCCCUGCCCAGUGAAAUCAUGUUCCAUUUUCCCGCCAGUGCCCAGAGAGAAGAGAGUUUGGUUUUGAGUUCAGGGAACUUUAAUGGCUGGUCUCCUUUUGAGAGGAUAAUUCUACCAUGUAAAUGGUUUUUGCAUCUCUGUAAUCCAGCUUGGUACUCUGCCUC
rnacentral:lncRNA from 1 species